CAGUAACACUGCCAGGAUCAACACAAAAACAGCCCAACCUCCUCACAGCACCAGCUCUGGUUAGAGCUGCCAAAAGCCAGGCCUGUGGAGGACACCUGGGAGAGGUUUGCAGCCCAGCAGAAAAUAUGUGGGGCAUGGCUGCUGGAUCUCUUCCUCAAUAUCUGGCCAAGAAGCUGCAAAAACUAUUCCAGAAUUCAGAGUUUGAGAUGACAGGCUGCAGAAGUAGAAUUCGACCUAUUUCCGAAUAAAUAAAAUAUGAUCAAA